GGGCGGGGCGAGCUGGGCGGUGCGCACGGCGCGCCGGGAAUUUGAGGACGCUCUGGCAGCUGGUCGGGCGGCUGAGUUCGCUUGGGAUGAUUACCAUUAUUUUAAUGUGAUACACAAUGCUACGAUGAACAUCCCUGUAUCUGCAACUUUAUGCUUUUACCUGAUUAUUUCCUUAGGAUGAAUCUCCAGAAGGGGAUUUUUUAGAUGGAAAAGAUAAGACAACUAGGGCAUCUGGCUCAAAGACUCUCAGCUAGUAGACAGCGAAAACAAAAGUCGAUCCCAGUAAAUCUGACUGAGUCUCUAUUCGAAGCAGGGGAAACGGCCUCCAGUCUCUCCCUCCUUUAAACCUAUCGUGUGGAGAAUGGUAAAAUUAAUUAAAGUUCCUCAUCUCUACCUCGCUUGACCCCUCAUUUAUACUUUUCACAAUCCUUCAUUUUCUACAACACUCAAUACUUUUCAAUCUAUUUUCUUUUAAAACUGUCAUGUACAGAUAAACUAAAACUCCUUCAGAACUUCAGGAAAAAAUGGUUUUCCUCCUCAGGAACCCUUUUCUUUCUACAAAGCUCUUAUAAAUCAAAAGAAUUCCUGUUUCAUAACUGCUGUCACUGAAAUAGGCAGAACCCUGAUUCCGUCUUUUCCUUGCCUUCAUGCUAUAGCAACGCUAAUCCUCCCUGAGACAAUGAAGGCCUCUAGCUGAGGGAGUAGGGCACAAGUAGAAAGGUGGGAGAACAAAAGAGUGUUUAUAGAAUUCUAAAUAUUAAAAACUCAAGAUAAUUUCAGAUUGUGUUUAGUACUAAGCUGAAAAAAAUGUGGGUGAGGAGAAGGAGAGCCAAUGGGAAAAGAGACUUUAGGAAGGUGGUCAGGGAAAGCCUCUGAGCGGGUGCUCUUUGCUCCUUGAACCAAGGUUGAGGGUAAGCAAGCACAGGGAAACAGCUUCAGGAAAAGCAGAGCAGUCCAGGAACAAGACUAAUGGCCUGAAAAGAGCAGACUUUAGUUCCUCCGAGGAAGGGAAAGAAAACCAGAAUAGCUAUGAGCGAUGGAGACAGGAUGGGAAGAACUGGAAAGAAAUCUUCAGGCAGGGCCUUUGAGACCAUGGUAAGGAAUUUGAAUUUUUUUCCAAAAGAAAGGGAAGCCACUGAGGAAAUUUAACCAGAAAAAAGGCACAAUCUUGUUCACAUUUUUAAAAUAUAAUGCUGUGGAGAAUAGAUUCUAAAAUGGACAUGUGACAUCCAAGUGGAGAUGUAAAAGACAGUUCGAGUUUGGGCGAGUGGUCUAUGCUAGAGAUGUUGUGUAAAGCCCUGUAAGUGGGUACGAUCACCCAGUGAUACACCCUAGACAGAGAAAAGAAGAAGAUCCAUGAAUAAUUCCUUUAGCUAUCUAAAUUCAAGAGCUUGAGCAGAGAAGGAGAGGCUAAUGUGGUCCAAGCAAAACUUAGACUCUCUCCUGCCAGACAAGAUUUAGUUGUCAAAAAGCAUGGAAUGUUGAUGCCUAUAACAUUUGAGCUUUCAUGCUCAUCUAAUCUAUUAUUAUUAAAUGAGAUUGUCAGUAUGACAUUUUAAUUUGAGUUUGUGUUUUUGUCUUGUAAAAAUAUGAGCAAAUAUGGAUUGGACUGAAUUAAUGGUAUUAGCAGUCAAAUUUUGGCCAUAAAAAUCAGUAUAUAUUAAGGAAUGUAAUUACGUAUCAAAGAGGGAGGACUAUAGUAUAUACUCAAUGCCUUUUUUUUUUAAAGAUUGGCACCUGAGCUAACAUAUGUUACCAAUAUUCUU